GACGAACGCUGGCGGCGUGCUUAACACAUGCAAGUCGAACGGAAAGGCCCUGCUUUUGUGGGGUGCUCGAGUGGCGAACGGGUGAGUAACACGUGAGUAACCUGCCCUUGACUUUGGGAUAACUUCAGGAAACUGGGGCUAAUACCGGAUAGGAGCUCCUGCUGCAUGGUGGGGGUUGGAAAGUUUCGGCGGUUGGGGAUGGACUCGCGGCUUAUCAGCUUGUUGGUGGGGUAGUGGCUUACCAAGGCUUUGACGGGUAGCCGGCCUGAGAGGGUGACCGGCCACAGUGGGAAUGAGAUACGGCCCAGACUCCGACGGGAGGCAGCAGUGGGGAAUAUUGCACAAUGGGCGGAAGCCUGAUGCAGCAACGCCGCGUGCGGGAUGACGGCCUUCGGGUUGUAAACCGCUUUCGGCUGUGACGAAGCGUGAGUGACGGUAAUGGGUAAAGAAGCACCGGCUAACUACGUG
rnacentral:rRNA from 1 species